GGCUGGCAGAGAUGGCGGCUGCUCUGGAGUCGAUGGUGGAGGAUCCGCUGCGGAGCUUUGUGCGAAUUCUGGAGAAGCGGGAUGGGACAGCGCUACGACUGCAGCAAUAUGACUCCGGUGGUGUGGGUUGCGUUGUUUGGGACGCUGCCAUUGUUCUCUCUAAAUACCUGGAAACGCCGGGUUUUUCCGGCGACGGGGCCCAUGCUUUGAGCCGGCGGUCGGUGCUGGAGCUGGGCUCGGGCACCGGGGCGGUGGGACUCAUGGCUGCUACCCUUGGGGCAGAUGUUGUGGUCACAGAUCUUGAGGAAUUGCAAGACUUGCUCAAGAUGAAUAUUAAUAUGAACAAACAUCUUGUCACUGGAUCUGUUCAAGCCAAGGUACUGAAAUGGGGGGAAGAAAUAGAAGACUUUCCUUCUCCACCAGACUACAUACUGAUGGCUGACUGCAUAUACUAUGAAGAGUCUUUGGAGCCAUUGCUGAAAACACUGAAAGAUCUCAGUGGAUCUGAAACUUGUAUUAUAUGUUGCUAUGAACAACGUACAAUGGGGAAAAAUCCAGAAAUUGAGAAAAAAUAUUUUGAGCUUCUUCAGCUAGACUUUGAUUUUGAAAAAAUUCCUUUGGAAAAACAUGAUGAAGAAUAUCGAAGUGAAGAUAUCCAUAUUAUAUACAUCAGAAAGAAAAAAUCAAAAUUGCCAUCAUGAAAUGUUUAGCCAUCAUCUUACCCAAGCCUCUAACAACCUGGGUAAGCAAAAGCAGUGACUGAAGCAUGUGAAUACAGCAUGGGAAGAUUGUGUUUACAGAUUUUUCCAGCAUGUCCUUAGAGAUCUGAUAUAUGGAUGACAACCACCAUGGUCUUCCUGCAAUAUGAAAAAUGACUGCCUGCCUGCCAAUGGGCCUGAAAUCCACCUUAGCUUUACUUAACCUCAGCAUCAAGUUCUGCUUAAAAGAAACAUUGAGAAUUUGGGGGAUGCUCAAACAGGAAGAUGGUAUGAGUCAAGGAAGAGUUAACUUGACAGCUGGAAGAAAUUGGACGUUCCAUAUUCCUGUUUGCUGAGAACCCACCAGAAGUGAAAGUCCGACCAGAAGUAAGAUGUCUUCCAUCUCUGGGUGACAAGAAACUGUACCUCUUUAAGGACCCACAGACCUGGGUUGGCAGUUCCUGUGAAGAGGCCUUAAUGUCCUCCUGCCUCCGGAGCAGGGGAGCCCACACCACUUGCUGUCCAGGCCAGAUUCCUGCCCCCACCCACUGAAGACAGGCCAGCAGAACCCCCUGCCCCAGGUGCCUCUGAAGUACCCACCCUGCCCUGCCCGAGAGGGGCACGAGGUCACCAAGGGCCAGGGUGAAGCAAGAGGGCUUGCGACCCAGAGCCAGGGGAGAUGGACUGGAGGGGGUGAAUGCUGCUGCCUGGCUAGCUCCUUUUGUCGCUGUCGCAUAACCUUUUCCCUAACAGUGAAUGACGCCAGUCCUCUCCCAUAUCCCUCCAGGAGCUCAGACGCAUGCAGCUUCUCCUAAUAAAUGUAUGUGUUUCUCACUCAGAAUACCUACGUCUCUGAUGAGUUCUAAUUAUUGCAGCCCUCGGUCCUUAGAGUAGGACGGUUUCAUAGAUACCUAGGUUUUCCCCUCUUUUGUGCUGCUUUCUUGUCACAUGGAAUAACCUUCGUUUUGACAUGUUUAUUCUGAACUGUGAAAUGUCCUUAAAGAAUGAGAGAACGAAGGAGAAUAUGGGUGAGUGUGUGAAAGAGAGAUGGAUUGACUUUGUAGACUGAAAUGCUUACAGCAGGGAAGGAAGAUAAAGACAGAAAAUAUGCAGCUGUAGUAGAAUCAUAAGCUUGCUUUGAAACCAGACCCAAAAAGUGAAGUCACAUCUCAGCACGGCUCAGCCCUGCCCGCCUGAUGCAAACUGAAAACCCACAGGAGGGGAACUCCCCUAGGUGUCUCUCCUUAGAGAAACUAUGGGAGAGUGUGAGUUCUUGAGAAAGAGGUUUGGAAUCAAGUGUUUGCUCUGGAGGAUCUCGAGGACUCCAGAACUCCUUGGGUGCUGUUUUAUAAAAUCAGAAUGACUGAUACAGAACAAAGUAAAAAAGAAUCCAAAAAUGAUCAUUUUCACACUCUUCUGUCAGGAAGACUCUGCCAGGAAUCCCACAGUUCUGGACCCCAACUUGGGACUGACUGACUGGAUACAAUGGUUCUUCAUUUAUAGAAUGGCAUAGAGCUGGAAGGGGCUUUAGAAUUUCAGUCCAGUCUCCCCUUUUACAAAGAAGAAGCCAGACUCCACUUUGGCCUCCAACUUGAACUCUCUUGGCAUCUGAAAAGUUAAUAGCUACUUCACAGAUUUAUUUUGAAGAUUAGGUGCAAUGAUGUGUAUUAAACACUCAGCACUCUGCACUCACUAUAGGGAGCUGUUAUUAUCUCACCACCUUUGUAUGCUUUGUGACUGAGGUCUUGGGAACUGUUUCAGUGAAAAAAGCUAGCUUCUUGAGGUAGAGUUCAUAUCCACUUGAGUCUUCUGGACAUAAAAGAACAAAUAGAGCCUUCAGUUCAUUCUGUUUUAGAGAUAAUGAAAAAAGGUCCAGACAAGUGAAGGCUUGCUGAGGAUCCCAAAGCGUCCUCUUUUCUGGAAUCCAAUGUCCUGCUUACACAGUAGGAAACUGCCAUGUUUUUAGUAGAAGCUUUAAUGAGAUGGUGUCUCAUUUUUCGGAUGGGAGUGCCUAAUCCACCAGAACCAAUGCUUAGUUGGAUCUUUCUGGAUACCACUGUCACCUCCGUUACCACCACCAUGGUGGGCACUUAAACUUUUCAUAAAUUAAUAAAAGUGCUACAUUCUCAACUCUUGAGAGAACUAAUAAUUAUCUACAAAGACAAGUCUGAGUUUGAAAUUAAUGACUGUGGGAUUCAGAAAUGAUUUCAUGAUAAAAUGAGUUGUUUAUUUGCAUGGCAGUAGACAUUGCUUAGGAAAAAAAUGUUUUAUAGAACUUUAAGAGACAAAGAUCUUGUCUGUUAGUUUAAUUAAUGGCCUAGGGGAGGGGGGUUUGGCAAGAGGAAGAACAUGAGGGGUUUGAAGCUUUUAAUGCUUGCUCUGCAGAAAUAUGACUAUUUCUCUUUCUGAAAUAAACUUUUAAGUAUGAAGUAAUGUCCAGCAUUAAGUACUUGUUAUGUAUUUUAUAUUUAUUUGUUUAAUCUCCAUGAUAACCUUAGGAAAUAGGUGCUAGAGUUACUUCCAUUUACAGAAAACCAAGGCCAGAGAGUAGCUUAUUCAAGGUCAAAUAGCUGGUGAAUAGCAGCAUCAGAAACAAAUCCUAGAUUCUGGCUUCAGAGCUAUGUUUUUAAUCUGCUGUGCUCUUCCACCUUGGGAGAGUCAAGGGACCAAACCAGUUAGACUGGGAAAUACUGAGACAUUCCUCAUGAAUGUAUAUUUUCCAUCCUAUCACUGUCCCAAGGUUAAGCGCUUGAAGCUGAAACCUGUUGGUCCUCAUUAUUCUAGUCUGCCCUAUCAGUGUUGGGCUAGAAAUACCCUGGAAACAUGAGCGAGAUCUUGUGUUUUAUAAUCAUCCCUUACUUUAUGUUGCUAGAAGAAAAUCAGGACCCAGUUCUGCUCUUCAGUCCAGAAAUGGCAUAAGGAGCCAGCAUUACUCAGCAUUAUAGAUUUUUUUAAAAAGACAUCUACCUCCAAGAACAUACCAAUACAAGCCAAAAGGGAGCAGUAUAUUUCACUGAGAAGGAUCAUGAAGAGAUGCUAUGGUAGCAACUCUAUUUCUAUGUUUGUCUUAUAUUAUGAUGCCUAUUUUUUAAUCCCUUUCUCUUUUUCAUUUUAAUUCAGAAGUGAUAGCAACCUUGCUUCUUAAAUUAUAUGAGAAUGAGUCUUCAGAGAUCUACAAUAAACUCAAUAGCAAAUAAAUGUGUAGAAAAGGGACACUUACCUGUAAUUUAAUUUUAAUAAAUACUUGCAUAUCCCUUUUAUACACAAGAAAGAAUACUGCAUUAUACAUAUUUUUACACUCUUAUACCCACUCCUCGGCUUUUAUUUUUUCACUUAACAUGUUUUGUAGCACAUUCCAUAUUUAAUAUUAUCACAAAAAAUU